rfam:Otolemur garnettii contig042414, whole genome shotgun sequence.
GCCAGGCACGGUGAUGCAUGCCUGUAGUCCCAGAUACUAGGAGGCUGAGACAGGAUGAUUGCUUGAGUCCAGGAGUUAUGGGCUGUCAUGAGCUAUGUUGAUCAGGUGUUCACACUAAGUUCGGCAUCAAUGUGAUUACCUCCCAGGAGCCAAAGGCCACCAGGUUGCCUAAGGAGGGGUGAACUGCCCCAAAGCUCCCAUGCUGAUCAGUAGUGGGAUUGCGCUUGUGAAUAACCACUGCACUCCAGCCUAGGCAAGACUGAGACACCAUCUCUA